CUGAAUCUCUCGUGAGAUUUUAUGAAGUGUUAUGUCACGUGACCUUCUAGAUCACUUGACUCAUUUAAUAUGAUCACUUUGAUCAUUUGCUUAUCUUCUUUAUCAAGGAGUUUAUUUGAAACCGAUCUGUCUGUAUGCUUUAAGCGUACCAUAGACUUGUCCUUCUAGGACUUAAUAUGAGCAUUUUCAAUGAGAAUAUAGUUACUUUCUUUGGGUCAGN
rnacentral:lncRNA from 1 species